rnacentral:rRNA from 1 species
GUCCACGCCCUAAACGAUGUCAACUAGGUGUUGGGGAGGAGACUUCCUUAGUACCGUAGCUAACGCGUGAAGUUGACCGCCUGGGGAGUACGGUCGCAAGAUUAAAACUCAAAGGAAUUGACGGGACCCGCACAAGCGGUGGAUUAUGUGGAUUAAUUCGAUGCAACGCGAAAACCUUACCUACCCUUGACAUGUCAGAAAGAUCGCAGAGAUGUGAUUGUGCCCGAAAGGGAAUCUGAACACAGGUGCUGCAUGGCUGUCGU